GUGCUGACGGUGUGGCGCAAGUCGCUGCUCUUCAACUGCGACGGCUUCACCGUCUUCGACGCCAAGGGCGACCUCGCCUUCCGCGUCGACUGCUAUGGCUCCAGCCGCCGCCGCGCCGAGGUCGUCCUCAUGGACGUCGCGGGGAAGCCGCUCCUCACCGUCCGCCGCAAGAGGCUCAGCCUCCUCGGGGAGCACUGGGUCAUCUACGACGGCGACGCCGCGGAACACAAAUCAUCCAAGCCGCUCCUCUCCGUCCGGCGCCACGUCAGCCUCCGCGCCUCCAGCAAGACGCUGGCGCACGUCACGCCCGUGGCCUCCAGCACCUCGGCGUUCGUGGUGGAGGGCUCCUACGGGCGGCGUGCCUGCGCCGUGCGCGACUCGCGCGGGGACGCGGUGGCGGAGGUCCGCCGGAAGGAGUCGGUGGGCGACGACGUGUUCCGGCUGGUGGCGAACCCGCGCCUGGGCGCGCCGCUGGCCGUGGGGCUCGUCAUCGCCCUCGACGAGAUGUUCGCCAGCGGCCGUGGCUCGCCGCGGUCACUGCUGCGCAGGACAUGGUCGGCGUAGCUAGCUAGAAACGCCGAAGCCAAGGGUAGGCCAGGGCCACUUCUCCACCUGACGCAAUAUGUACAGACCCGAUCGAUUGUUAGCGGCAUGCAGCAGAGUUUUAGCGUGCUGGCUGCUACUGCAGAGGGCCUAUAGCCUAUAGCUAGUGUGCGCAUCACAUCCAUUCAUCGGCACAAGUGUUGCUCUUUCCAAACAAUGUGCAAAAUUGAUGCAAUGAAACAUGCGAAUCGGUUAACUAGUUUUGUUUUUGCAAAAUAAACUGAAAAGUACUGAUAAGAAUGCAAUGAACUGAAGAAGGUGAACGAAGCAAGAAGAACACGUUGACACUGAACUGGGUAGAUGAAGUAGAAAUCUCUGGAUUGUUGAGUUGAUCGAGAUCUCCCAAAGGAUCGGAGGCUCUGGAGAAUUAAUUGGUUCUUCAUUUUCAGGCUACUGGGCUAUAGCAUCUUUUUUUCCUUUAUCUAAAAAUACGAGAGACGUACGACAGGUCACGGGUCAUGGUAACCCAUUCCAUUGACAGUAGUAACCCAUGGAGCUAGCUUGGAUUUGAUAUACAUGCCAAAUGCUGCUUGUAGCUACUUGUGCAUCAAGAGUCAACAGGUGCUUUGCAACCCCAACCCGUGAUAAAAAAAAAGAUUUAUUUAAUUAGCAUGGAAUUGGAUGCUCAGGGGUUCUUAAUUAUUUUCUAUUCAUGCAUCUGUGCUGACUUCGUUAAUCUCAAGGUCUACCGACUCAAUCUCACGGACCGGAUGAGUGUGUGUGUCUUUGGUGCAUAGUAUAUAGGAAUAGUAUCCCAUUGCUUUUAGUUAUCAUCGACAACAUGUGAUGAUAACAAGUCAGCACAGAGAGGGGAAAGAGUUUAAAUUACCUCGAUCAGUUCCGAAGAAUGUACCCAUAAUUUAUGGAUAUCUCCUCUGAAGAGUUCUAUACAUGGCUAUCCGGAUCAAUCAUGCAUGGAUCACAGAAGCAACCAAACACCAUUCUAGGAGGAUGUGCCUUCUCUUCUUGUACAUACGUGCAGUUCAUGCCCUCAUGCCCAUGUCUUGAGUUGUCAGAGAGACUUGCAAAAAUUUAGCACAAAAUAAACUCAGUGGAGACUACCCUUUUCAGUCUCUUCUGGAAAAAUGUCUCUUGAUGUUCAUCUGUUGCAAUUUUCAACUUCUAUGCUAAUUAUACUCGAGAUAUAGUGCAAACCAUGUCCUAUCACACCUUUUAUCACCAAAUAGACAGCUAUAAACAAUGUCACAUUGGAAGAGACCAAUAACCGUUACACACGGUUCAAACCUGAAAGUAUGAUUGACCAUAUAAUACAGAAGAAUAUACAUCGAGAUAUAGGCCUUGGUCCAUGCAUGGUUGUUAGAUCAACAGGCCGUAAAAUGGAACCAAGAAGAAAGGGGAAGAAAAUAAAGUGGAUUGAAGGAAGCUCCGAUCCAAUGCUAGCUCCAAGCCUCCAACGUUGAUGGUAAGCAACAUACAGAGUCAGAGAUAGAGAUAGAAGACAAAGAAAGGAUGACUACUCACAGAUCCAAUCCAAUCGAGUACGUUCCGCCAUUUCCAUGGAUCCAUACCAUACACGCGUCAGGAAACAAUCGAGAGAAAGCUGAAAGCAUCACCCAUGAUCAUUGACCCAUAUUAAAAGAUGCUACAGGGGAAUAUAAUCUGCGAAUGGUACCAAACAAAAAGGGAGUUGCACAUUUAAAUUUUAAAAGAGCUUGAAAUUGUUCAAAAAUAUCUCAUAAAAAGUUUGUCUGUGAUAGUAUUUUUGCUUCUUCUUCUUCUUUUUCAACAAAAAAAACUUAAAAUAUACCAAACUUCAAGGUGUACGUGCUGAGUUUGUCAAUCUCAAAAUAUACAGGCAUCCACAACGGUAUGAUGUGGUGCAUAAAUUGUUCAUAGCAAUACAUAAUUGUUUAGGAUAUCUCAUAAAAUAUUGCUUGUGAUUGUAUUUUUGCCUUUUUAUUUAAACUGAAAUAUGCCAAACUCCAAGGCGUAUGUCCAGAGUUCAUAAUGGUAGGAUGAAGUACAUAAAUUGUUCAUAGCAAAUAUAGGUUGCACUGUCCAUAUGUGUGUUUUGAAAAAACAAAUACAAGCAUUAUCCGUAAUUUUCUUUGGGAUAUGCACCGUUGAAAGCAAGUGUUUCUUGUGAGUUACAGCUUGCUGUUAAGUUAUUUAUGUGCACAUAACAUUUUGUGUGCGUGGAUACGUUGCAGAGCAUCACGACACGGUACUUGUAGAAGCAGCACGCGUGCGAUGAUGCUCUUUGCAGACCCUGUUGCUUUGGAGGCAACCAACAACGCACUUCAAUCUAGUCGGUAGCCAUUCCUCGUUAUCUCAAAGCUUCCCCUUUCUUUUGCCCACCAUUUGUGUGUCAAUCGAGAAUCACUUUGCCUGUUGAGUACUGUGAGGAUCAAUAGGCCGGCGUGUGGUGUGUGGUCGGCGAAGAACAAGUUCCUUGCCUUGGUCCAUCAUCCGUUUCAGAGCAGCGUGGGAUGGUCUCCCGAAACCACCCCACCACCGCCGCCGCCGCCCCCGCCCGCCAUCUCGUCUCGUCCGCAGCCGCCCACGCACCCACCAAGACAGUCCCGGCCCCGUAUAAAUACCCCACAACUCCUCUUCCACCUCCGCCAACUCCGAUCCGUUACCUCCCCUCUCCCCAAGCUCAACAACCAGAGCACACAGGCCUUUCUCCUCUAUCUAUCGCACAAGAGGCGCGCACGAAAAUGGCCAAGGUGCACCCCAACGCCGCCGAUACAGAGCCGCCCUCGCCGGCGCCAGAGGUGGAGGAGCCGCCCACGGUGCUGACGGUCUGGCGCAAGUCGCUGCUCUUCAACUGCGACGGCUUCACCGUCUUCGACGCCAAGGGUGACCUCGCCUUCCGCGUCGACUGCUACGGCUCCGGCCGGCGCCGCGCCGAGGUCGUGCUCAUGGACGUCGCGGGCAAGCCGCUCCUCACCGUCCGCCGCAAGAGGCUCAGCUUCCUAGCGGAGCACUGGGUCAUCUACGACGGCGACGCCGCG
rnacentral:lncRNA from 1 species